rnacentral:tRNA from 2 species
GCUAAUGUAGCUUAAAUUAAAGCAUAACCUUGAAGACGUUAAGACGAACCAUUAGAAAGUUCCAUAAGCA